GAUGAACGCUGGCGGCGUGCUUAACACAUGCAAGUCGAACGAUGAAGCCCAGCUUGCUGGGGGGAUUGGUGGCGAACGGGGGAGUAACACGUGAGUAACCUGCCCUUGACUCUGGGAUAAGCCUGGGAAACUGGGGCUAAUACUGGAUAUGACUUCUCAUCGCAUGGGGGGGGGGGGAAAGAUUUAUUGGUCUUGGAUGGACUCGCGGCCUAUCAGCUUGUUGGUGAGGUAAUGGCUCACCAAGGCGACGACGGGUAGCCGGCCUGAGAGGGUGACCGGCCACACUGGGACUGAGACACGGCCCAGACUCCUACGGGAGGCAGCAGUGGGGAAUAUUGCACAAUGGGCGCAAGCCUGGUGCAGCGACGCCGCGUGAGGGAUGACGGCCUUCGGGUUGUAAACCUCUUUCAGUAGGGAAGAAGCGAGAGUGACGGUACCUGCAGAAGAAGCGCCGGCUAACUACGUG
rnacentral:rRNA from 1 species